rnacentral:lncRNA from 1 species
ACCGACAAUAGUCGAUAAUUUAACAAUCAAAAUUUUAGAGAGUUUUGCACAAAAUUUCAUAUUACGCACAAACUCACUUCGGUCAGCCAUCCACAGUCAAAUGGUGAAGUGGAAGUAACCAAUCGAACAAUCCUGUACGGACUGAAAAUUCAAUUGAAUGAAGCUAAAAGCCUCUAGGUUGAAGAGCUAUAUCUGAUCUUAUGAGCAUAUCGGAUAACUCUUUGUACAUCGACAGAGAAAUCCCUCUUCAAUUUAGUUUAUGGAGCAGAAGCAAUGAUACCACUUG